UACGUAGGGUGCAAGCGUUGUCCGGAAUUAUUGGGCGUAAAGAGCUCGUAGGCGGUUCGUCGCGUCGGCUGUGAAAACCCGGAGCUCAACUCCGGGCCUGCAGUCGAUACGGGCGGACUUGAGUGUUGCAGGGGAGACUGGAAUUCCUGGUGUAGCGGUGAAAUGCGCAGAUAUCAGGAGGAACACCGAUGGCGAAGGCAGAUCUCUGGGCCGUAACUGACGCUGAGGAGCGAAAGCAUGGGGAGCGAACAGG
rnacentral:rRNA from 1 species